AACUCCUACGGGAGGCAGCAGUGGGGAAUAUUGCACAAUGGGCGAAAGCCUGAUGCAGCAACGCCGCGUGAGGGAUGAAGGCCUUCGGGUCGUAAAACUCUGUCCUCAAGGAAGAUAAUGACGGUACGUGAGGAGGAAGCCCCGGCUAACUACGUGCCAGCAGCCGCGGUAAUACGUAGGGGGCUAGCGUUAUCCGGAUU
rnacentral:rRNA from 1 species